rnacentral:rRNA from 1 species
AGCGAACGCUGGCGGCAGGCCUAACACAUGCAAGUCGAACGAAGUCUUCGGACUUAGUGGCGGACGGGUGAGUAACACGUGGGAACGUGCCUUUAGGUUCGGAAUAACUCAGGGAAACUUGUGCUAAUACCGAAUGUGCCCUUCGGGGGAAAGAUUUAUCGCCUUUAGAGCGGCCCGCGUCUGAUUAGCUAGUUGGUGGGGUAAUGGCCCACCAAGGCUACGAUCAGUAGCUGGUCUGAGAGGAUGACCAGCCACAUUGGGACUGAGACACGGCCAAAACUCUUACGGGAGGCAGCAGUGGGGAAUCUUGCGCAAUGGGCGAAAGCCUGACGCAGCCAUGCCGCGUGGAUGAUGAAGGUCUUAGGAUUGUAAAAUCCUUUCACCGGUGAAGAUAAUGACUGUAGCCGGAGAAGAAGCCCCGGCUAACUUCGUGCCAGCAGCCGCCGUAACAC